rnacentral:rRNA from 1 species
AGAGGGUGCGGGCGUUGUCCGGAAUCACUGGGCGUAAAGGGCGCGUAGGCGGCCUGAUAAGUCGGGGGUGAAAUCCUGUGGCUCAACCACAGGGCUGCCUCCGGGACUGUCGGGCUCGAGCACAGUAGAGGCAGGUGGAAUUCCCGGUGUAGCGGUGGAAUGCGUAGAGAUCGGGAAGAACAUCGGUGGCGAAGGCGGCCUGCUGGGCUGUUGCUGACGCUGAGGCGCGACAGCGUGGGGAGCAAACAGGAUUAGAUACCCUGGUAGUCCACGCCGUAAACGAUGGGCACUAGGCGUCGGGGGGAGCGACCCUCCCGGUGCCGUCGCUAACGCARUAAGUGCCCCGCCUGGGGAGUACGGCCGCAAGGCUG